rnacentral:rRNA from 1 species
AAUACCGCAUAAUGCAUAGGUAUCGCAUGGUACAGAUGCCAAAGAUUUAUCGCUGAGAGAUGGCCUCGCGUCUGAUUAGCUAGUUGGUAGGGUAACGGCCUACCAAGGCGACGAUCAGUAGCCGGACUGAGAGGUUGGCCGGCCACAUUGGGACUGAGAUACGGCCCAGACUCCUACGGGAGGCAGCAGUGGGGAAUAUUGGGCAAUGGGCGCAAGCCUGACCCAGCAACGCCGCGUGAAGGAAGAAGGCUUUCGGGUUGUAAACUUCUUUUAACCGGGAAGAGCAGAAGACGGUACCUGUUGAAUAAGCCACGGCUAACUACGUGCCAGCAGCCGCGGUAAUACGUAGGUGGCAAGCGUUGUCCGGAUUUACUGGGUGUAAAGGGCGUGCAGCCGGGUUUAUAAGUCAGAUGUGAAAUCCCGCGGCUCAACCGCGGAACUGCAUUUGAAACUGUAGAUCUUGAGUACUGGAGAGGCAGGCGGAAUUCCUAGUGUGGCGGUGAAAUGCGUAGAUAUUAGGAGGAACACCAGUGGCGAAGGCGGCCUGCUGGACAGCAACUGACGGUGAGGCGCGAAAGCGUGGGGAGCAAACGGGAUUAGAUACCCUGGUAGUCCACGCUGUAAACGAUGGAUACUAGGUGUACGGGGACUGACCCCCUGUGUGCCGCAGC